GGGCACGGGACCAAGAUGCAGUGAAGAGUGUGGGCUUUGGAGCCAGACAGCCUGGGCCGCAACCCCAGCUCCAUACUGUAGCAUAGAGUCUGGCACACAGUAAAUUGUAAUAACCGCAAUGAAAGAAUGAAGGGGAAGAUGGGACGGGCAACGUUCACCGCCGCUGCUGCAGCUGCGGCUGCGCUGUCGGCACCACCCCUGGGCCACUUCUCUGGACUGUCCAGCUCAGGGCAUGGCUCACCCUCAGGCCACUGUGGGGUGGCCCCGCAAUGCAGCCGCAUCACCAUGGGGGCGAAGGCCAUCUUGCC